rnacentral:tRNA from 1 species
UGGGGUGUAGCUUGGUGGUAAAGUGUGUGCUUGGCAUACAAGAGGUCCUGGGUUCAACCUCUAGCACUGCAA